AGUAACACGUGAGCAACCUGCCUGUACAACUGGAUACCACUAAGAAAUUAAGUGCUAAUACAGUAUAUGACCACACCGAGACAUCUCGGAGGGGUGGAAAGCGAUAGCGGUACAAGAUGGGCUCGCGUCCAAUUAGCUAGUUGGUGAGAUAACAGCCCACCAAGGCGACGAUUGGUAGCCGACUUGAGAGAGUGAUCGGCCACACUGGAACUGAGACACGGUCCAGACUCCUACGGGAGGCAGCAGUGGGGAAUAUCGGGCAAUGGAGGAAACUCUUACCCAGCAAAAUGCCGCGUGAGUGAAUGAAGGUCUUCGGAUUGUAAAGCUCUUUGAUUGGGGACGAAUAAAUGACGGUACCCAAGGAACAAGCCCCGGCUAACUAUGUGCCAGCAGCAGC
rnacentral:rRNA from 1 species